GUGUUCUCCCCACAGCACAUAUACUAAAAUUGGAACAACACAGAAGAUCAAGGGCCCUGUGUGGCCCCUGCACAAGGAUAACACAAAAGUUUGUGAAGUGAUCCGUAUUUUA